rnacentral:rRNA from 1 species
AUUGAACGCUGGCGGCAUGCUUUACACAUGCAAGUCGGACGAGUGGCGAACGGGUGAGUAACGCAUCGGCACGUACCGAGUCAUGGGGGAUAACUGUCCGAAAGGAAAGCUAAUACCGCAUACUAUUCGAGCGGCCGAUGUCUGAUUAGCUGGUUGGCGGGGUAUAGGCCCACCAAGGCGACGAUCAGUAGCGGGUCUGAGAGGCUGAUCGGCCACAUGGGGACGGAGACACGGCCCAGACGCCGACGGGAGGAAGCAGUGGGGAAUUUUGGACAAUGGGCGCAAGCCGGAUCCAGCCAUGCCGCGUGUCUGAAGAAGGCCUUCGGUUGGUAAAGGACUUUUGUCAGGGAAGCGGUACCUGAAGAAUAAGCACCGGCUAACUACGUGCCAGCAGCCGCGGUAAUAC